GACGUAGGGGACGAGCGUUGUCCGGAUUCAUUGGGCGUAAAGCGCGUGUAGGCGGUUCAGUAAGUCUGCUGUGAAAGUCCAGGGCUCAACCCUGGGAUGCCGGUGGAUACUGCUGGGCUAGAGUGCGGAAGAGGCGAGUGGAAUUCCCGGUGUAGCGGUGAAAUGCGUAGAUAUGGGGAGGAACACCGGUGGCGAAGGCGGCCACCUGGACGGUAACUGACGCUGGAGACGCGAAAGCGUGGGGAGCAAACAGG
rnacentral:rRNA from 1 species